AAUCGAUCCCUCUUGCUCCUUCUUGCAAACAAGGCAUAGACCCAGAAAAGAAAAGAGAUGGGGCAACAGGAAGGAAGAAAUGUUCCGGUGAUCGAUCUGCAACGCUUUCCAUCGCAGUACGAGAAGCCGAGAGGAGCCUGCGAGGAGUGGGGGUGUUUCCGGGUGCUGAACCACGGGAUCUCGGAGGCGCUGAUGGCCGAGAUGAAGGCGGUGGCGAGAUCACUGCUUGAUCUUCCCAUGGAGGCGAAGAAGAAGAAGAAGAAGAAUGCGGUGGAAGGGAGUGGGUGCCUGGAGCCCGACAAGGCAUAUCCUCUCCAUGAAUCUUUGGGGCUGUGGGACAUGGGCUCUGCUCAAGGUGUGGAUGAGUUCUGUUCCCAGUCGAAUGCUUCUCCUCAUCAAAAAGAAAUAAUGACGAUCUAUCGUGAAGCAGUACAUGAACUGGCCAUGAACAUGGCAGACGAGCUGACUUGAAGCACGGGACUGAGCAGCGGCCGGUUUGAAGAUUGGGCCUGCCAACUCAGGCUGAACAAAUACAGCUUCAAACUAUUGGCUUUACUGGUGCAGUACUACACACAGAUAUGGGAUUCCUGGCCAUUAUUCAAGAUGACGAUGACGUGAGUGGUCUCGAAGCGAUGGACAAGUCUGGUUCGUUUGUACCAAUUGAUGCUUGGCCAGGCACUUUUCUCGUCAAUUUGGGAGAGAUGGCUGUCGUAUAUCCCUUCUCAUCAAUUCAGGUACCAUCGGAAUUGUUGUAGUGGUGUCCACCGGUGCCAGUUCAACUGAUACAUGCCGUUCAGAUGGGAACCGACGAACACAGCAUGAAUGCCAUAUUAUUAUCCCUCUUUUAUUUGACUGGUUGAGAAUCUAUGAAUUAGCUGUAGAAUUCCCUUCGUCUAAUGGUUUCCAAUAAUAGUGAUUACUCCUCUCAUUACAUGUUCUAGGCAUGGAGCAAUGGAAGAUUGUGCACUUUGAAGCAUCGAGUUCAAUGCAAGGAAGGAAGAGUUCGGGUAUCAAUUGGAACUUUUGUAAAGGCACCAAAGGAGGCAGAUAUUGAAGCCCCAGAAGAGUUUGUGAAUGCUGAACGCCCACGCCUCUAUGCCCCUAUUUCUUUCACGGAUUAUAAGUAACUUCGGUCUGUGAAAAAAUUGCACACAGCACCUGCAGAGGGCCACACGAAAGCUGGUCUAAAUGGCGGGACGUAUGGCACUGGCAGCAAUCCUGAAGCAAUCUGCAAAACGGCCUGUGUUUUGGGUCUCUCGCUUGCAUUUGGGUGUGAACAUGCCAGACCCAAGAGCAGCAGCCGCUCCGCCUCCUCUGCCACAUAAUCUCCCCUCAGCCUCUCGUCAACUGCCUCGAGUAUUCGCCCAUCACGAUGGAGCGACCAGACCCAAUCCACCAAGAAGCAGAAUCCACCAAUCUUGGUCCAUGGUCGCUGACCACACACAACCUCAAGAACCACUGCUCCAAAGCCAUAGAUGUCAGAUUCCCUAGUGGCUUUACCUGCAUCAUGAAUGGGGGCACUGUCAGACCAUGCAUUAGAAUGUUCAUGGUUUCUGUGCCUGAUCGUUUUUUGGAAUUCCAAUGAGCAAAUGUGUCAAAUUUUAAUCGUCUCAAGAACUAUGAUGGACUACCUGUGUGCAGGCACUCAGGUGCAAUGUACCCAAGAGUACCCGGUACACCUUCGAGCUCUGCGUAGGAGGUCUUCCCAUUCUCUAUGGCUCGGGCCAAACCGAAAUCGCCUAGCCGGGCGUUGAAGCUAGAGUCAAGCAUGAUGUUGCUGGCCUUAAGGUCUCUAUGCACAACCUUCUGUUCGUAUUCAUUGUGCACAUAGUGCAAAGCUGAUGCAACUCCUGAUAUGAUCUGGUAUCUGAGGUCCCAUCUUAAGGUUUCUUUCUCCGCUCCACAGAAUAUGUGCGCGUCUAGGCUACCAUUCGGCAUGUACUCGUACACCAGCAGAAGCUUCCCAUUCUUGUAGCACCACCCUGAGAACGAAAAACAAUAUCGGUUGGGUGGUAUGAUGAAGGAUUGCUUAAGUAACUCAAUUUGACUUGUAUAACAAACCUUUGAUUUAGCCACCUUUUGCUUGGUUCAAUUCAACUCAAUUUAUUUGAUUAA